UACACAAAGUUGAGAACAGCAGUCUCCUAGGAGAAAAUAUGAGGCAACUAUGACUAAAAGAACUAAGGCUGAAGGCAAUUUUUCUCCAAACUGUUAUCAUCAUUUGUGAAUUACUUUUUCUCUUUAAGAAAAAAAAGAAAAUUAAUAAAAUGGAAAACAUUUCAAAUCACAAAAGUUUGUGCUAUGGAAGAUUUUCAAAAUGCUUGCUGCAGAAGUUCUUUCAAUCCCAGAAGACUUUAAAAAAUUGUUGAGUUCAGGUUACUCUGGUGGAGCAAAUGCAAGAAGCAAGGCAAGGAGAAACGAAGUGGACGCUACUGUGAUACAGUGAAUGUGAGGAGGUGCACAGAUGAGUGAGCCCCAACACUAGAGGGGUGAACACCUAGGCACUGAUGGGCUGACAUCAUCUUGCUGAGGGCCCCACUCUGUCACCCAGGCUGGAGUACAGUGGUGCGAUCUUGGGUUACUGCAACCUCUGCCUCCUGAGCUCAAGCAAUCCUUCCACCUCAAGUAGCUGGAACUACAGGAGGUGAAUCAUCCCUUUGUCCAGCGUGUCCGUGCUGUAUACACUACCUGCCCGUCCAUCACUCAGUAGCUUUCUGCGGUAACAUCUUAAACCAUCACAAGAAGGGUGUGCCCCAGCCCCCAGCACUGUGUCUGGCCUAGAGUGGAACCUUAUUAAAGAGAUUAAGGAGUAGAUGGAGCUGAAUGUUAGUUAUUCCUCAUGCCUCAUACUACCUUGUGGGGGAACUUCCGGUAGACUCACACUCCUGGCCUCUCUCCCCAUCCCUUGCCUGUGUGAAGAAGCAAGGACAGCCCCUAAGAGGGAGGCUCCUUCCAUCCAGCUGUUGGGGAUGUGUGAAUGGCUACAGACUUCUAAUCAGCGUUAUCUGUAAUAACAGAUCAAUAUCUUGAACUCCAUCAUUCCAACAUCAUCUUGAGCUCUGAAUCUUCUCGGUCAAGGAGGGGAAAGAAGCGUUAUAGAAAAGUGAAACUGGAGGCCAUGGUUUAGAUGUUCCCACAGCCAUCCACCCAUAACCAUGUGGCCAACACUGAAGUCAUCCUGUUUUCCUUGAGGUGCUAGAAGUGCUGGCUCUAAUCAUAACUGAAACACAAGACAUAAGCUUCACGUCCUUGUCAGCAUGAUUCGUUGAAAUUAAACCCAUCAGCUCCAGACAAAUCAGUCCUAACGGUUCUACUUGCCCUAAAAAGAAUGUUCAUGUAUAACAACCAAUCGAGAAAAAGGUCAAAAUACUUCCUUCGUUAUGCUUCACAGACACUGAGCUGCCAAGCUGCAAGGCGAGCUUCUUACCACCUGGCUUGAAGUCUCCCAGAUAAAAAUCUAUACUUUCUCUCAUUGUAUGACAACAAACUUUCAAAUAGGUCCUCAUUUCUUCUGAUUGUUUUGGUUAAAGGCAAUUAUUUGUUAGCCUCUCACUCCCAGGUCAGUUGUCUUUAUUUUCGCUAUUUGCCUCGUCCUACCCCACUGCUCAGUCUUUCAGUGUGUGUAGACACACGUAGACAUAUGCACUGUCGCAUGAGUAGACACAUGCACUAUUCAUCAUUUUGGUUUCUUUCUGCCUUUUUGCAAGAGGCAGAGAGAAAUCAGCAGAUUCCUCACCCCUGGAGCAGGAAGACCUUGGUAAGGACUCACGGUGAGCUCUGCCUUCAGAGCCCCUCCUG